rnacentral:sRNA from 1 species
UCUUAAGUGAAUGUAACGUAAACUGUGC